CAGAUGCUAUACAGUGGGAAAACCAGCCUGGCAACAUAGUGCGUAUUAAUAAAAGGACACCACAUCCUGCCAAAUUCCAGCUGCGCUAAUUGUAUUGUGUUCACAGAGCUCACAAGCUAUCAGAAAGUUGUAUGGCAACCACCUCCGGCGCCAAAUAGAACUGGCAGACAUAGACAUUCAGUACAAGAAGAAAAAAGAUGGAAAAUCUUGCACUGGAGUCCGAAAUAAAAAAGAGGACAAUUAGGAAACUGGACCUUGAAAUAAAAAAACUUGAGAGGGAGCUCCAAGAAGAUGACACAGCUCAAAAUAAAAAUUAGGUAUAUUCUCGUAAAGUCAAGUGAGCCAUGACAUAUGAGCUCUUAUUGUGAGCACACAGGACGGUGGCAUCUUUCUAAGGUUUUUUUAUUUUCCCAGCAAUCAGUACAACCAAGUCAUCGUUAUAAGGCAUCGCCCUCUUUUGCCCACCCCCCCAGCACCAGGUGUGGCCACUAGCCUAUAUGAAGGCCCAAAAUUGUGUGUUCCUUUCUGCUCUGACAAUGGCAUGCCCAUUCGUGCGAGAUGUGGUGGAUGAAGAAGCACUUGUGCUGAGGAGAGCCUUCAGGCGAGAAAGGGUCUUCAGGGACCGGUUGGACCCACUGGCCUUCCCUGAUGACCAUCUACAGGUUUUCUGCAGAUGGCAUCAGGUAUCUAUGCAGACUACUGGGUCCCAGGAUUAAGCACCGCACUGCACGGAGCCAUGCACUGAGUGUGGAGCAAAUGGUUUGUGUGGCCUUGCGCUUUUUUGCUAGUGGAGCCUUCCUGUACUCAGUGGGGGGAUGCAGAACAGCUGAACAAGGCCACAAUUUGCCGCACAAUAAGGAGUGUGUGUCUGGCUAUCAAAGCAUUAGCAGAUGUCUUCAUCUCCUUCCCUGGCCACAGAAGACUCUGUGACAUCAAAGAGGAGUUCUAUAGGAUUGCAGAUGGUCUGCAAUGCUGACUGUGUGAUCAGCAAUGUUGUGGCAAAAUGGCCUGGCUCAGUCCAUGACUCCAGAAUCUUUCGGGCCUCUGAAAUCUAUCAGUGCCUAUCACAAGGUA